rnacentral:antisense_RNA from 1 species
UAGUGCUUGCUGAGGAAGACUUCACAGAGGAGUCACACCUUAAAAAAAAAAAGGAGGAGUUAUUCCUGCUUUUGCCGUGCUGUGAUCCAGGGCAGAGCUCCAGGCUUCAUAUGGUAAAACUCUCUGGGAAGGAAAGGAACUCAGAGUCCCAUGCAGAAAAUUGUUCAGCUGGAGGGGUAUCAGAAAGAUGGAUUUCCAAAGCCAACUGUUUCCUGUAGUGUGUGGAUCUCUGCAAGCAGAGCCUCAUCUUUCAAUUUCAGCUACAUGAAAGAGGAAGAAAGGGAAAGAUAUAUGUCAUACGUGAUAUACUUUAUGUGGCUUUGAAGACCCCUCUUUUGUGGGGCUACGGCUAAAGAACAUAGUUCCCUGGGAUGGAAUUGGCUCUUCCUAUAUUCCCUACUUCAUGAAAACUCCAGUAGAAGACCUUAGAACCUUGUCCUGGUUACAUGGAUAUGUUUACUUUGCGAAAAUUCAUCAAGCACUAUGCACGGUCAUGAUUUGUACAUUUUUUUGUAAGAUAACUUCAUUAAAGUUUACUUUUUUUAUUUUU